AUAAAUAAGAAUUACCAUUAUUCUAAUUUGAUAAACUAAUAGUGUGAUGAUACUUCCGACGAUCUCCAACCCCGAGCCAACCUGACAACACUAAGAGAAAUGGGAAAAUGGUGUAAGCUUAAAAGCUUAGUAAGUUGGAAUAUUAAUAAUAAUAAGCAAUUUAAUUAACAAUAUUAUCCCAUUCCUCAAUAAAUAUGCUCAAGAAAAUAGAAUCAUUAAUCACAUGAUUUCAUCUUUUUACACAAGAUCAGCUAAGGCUAUUUUCCUGAAUCAUAGUCACUAAAUUAUUUAUAUCUGGAGCUACGAAACUCCGAAUUAAGUUCUGUUAAUUUUCC
rnacentral:lncRNA from 1 species